AUUGAACGCUGGCGGCAUGCCUUACACAUGCCAGUCGAACGGCAGCGCGGGAGCAAUCCUGGCGGCGAGUGGCGAACGGGUGAGUAAUACAUCGGAACGUGCCCAAUCGUGGGGGAUAACGCAGCGAAAGCUGUGCUAAUACCGCAUACGAUCUACGGAUGAAAGCAGGGGAGCGCAAGACCUUGCGCGAAUGGAGCGGCCGAUGGCAGCUUAGGUAGUUGGUGAGGUAAAGGCUCACCAAGCCUUCGAUCUGUAGCUGGUCUGAGAGGACGACCAGCCACACUGGGACUGAGACACGGCCCAGACUCCUACGGGAGGCAGCAGUGGGGAAUUUUGGACAAUGGGCGAGAGCCUGAUCCAGCCAUGCCGCGUGCAGGAUGAAGGCCUUCGGGUUGUAAACUGCUUUUGUACGGAACGAAACGGUCUUUUCUAAUAAAGAAGGCUAAUGACGGUACCGUAAGAAUAAGCACCGGCUAACUACGUG
rnacentral:rRNA from 1 species